GACGAACCGUGCGAACGUUGUUCGGAAUCACUGGGCUUAAAGGGCGCGUAGGCGGGUCGGUAAGUCAAGGGUGAAAUCCCGCGGCUCAACCGCGGAAGGGCCCGUGAUACUGCCGGCCUUGAGGGGGGUAGGGGCGUGUGGAACUUCUAGUGGAGCGGUGAAAUGUGUUGAUAUUAGAAGGAACGCCGGUGGCGAAAGCGACACACUGGACCUUGUCUGACGCUGAGGCACGAAAGCCAGGGGAGCAAACGGG
rnacentral:rRNA from 1 species